rnacentral:rRNA from 1 species
UGGGGAAUAUUGGACAAUGGGGGAAACCCUGAUCCAGCAAUGCCGCGUGAGUGAAGAAGGCCUUAGGGUUGUAAAGCUCUUUUGGCAGGGACGAUGAUGACGGUACCUGCAGAAUAAGCUCCGGCUAACUCCGUGCCAGCAGCCGCGGUAAUACGGAGGGAGCUAGCGUUGUUCGGAAUUACUGGGCGUAAAGGGCGCGUAGGCGGCCUGAUAAAUUAAGUGUGAAAGCCCCGGGCUUAACCUGGGAACUGCAUUUAAGACUGUUAGGCUUGAGGACAUGAGAGGAUAGUGGAAUUCCUAGUGUAGAGGUGAAAUUCGUAGAUAUUAGGAAGAACACCAGUGGCGAAGGCGGCUAUCUGGCAUGUUACUGACGCUAAGGCGCGAAAGCGUGGGGAGCAAACAGG